rnacentral:rRNA from 1 species
GACGAACGCUGGCGGCGUGCUUAACACAUGCAAGUCGAACGGUGAAAGCGGAGCUUGCUCCGCUGGAUCAGUGGCGAACGGGUGAGUAACACGUGGGCAACCUGCCCCUCACUUCGGGAUAACUCCGGGAAACCGGGGCUAAUACCGGAUAUGACCUCCUUGGGCAUCCUUGGAGGUGGAAAGUUUUUCGGUGAGGGAUGGGCCCGCGGCCUAUCAGCUUGUUGGUGAGGUAGUGGCUCACCAAGGCGACGACGGGUAGCCGGCCUGAGAGGGCGACCGGCCAAACUGGGACUGAGACACGGCCCAGACCCCUACGGGAGGCAGCAGUGGGGAAUAUUGCGCAAUGGGCGAAAGCCUGACGCAGCAACGCCGCGUGCGGGAUGACGGCCUUCGGGUUGUAAACCGCUUUCAGCAGGGAAGAAGCCGCAAGGUGACGGUACCUGCAGAAGAAGCACCGGCUAACUACGUGCCAGCCGCCGCGGUAAAAC